rnacentral:snRNA from 1 species
UCCCUCAGGAUAGCUGGAG